CUAACUUUAUUAACGGGCAUUUAGCUAUCGUCCCCAGGUGAUGAGUAGAGUGUGGGUGUAUUAAGACCAUCUGAACUAACUUUAUUAACGGGCAUUUAGCUAUCGUCCCCAGGUGAUGAGUAGAGUGUGAGUGUAUUAAGACCAUCUGAACUAACUUUAUUAACGGGCAUUUAGCUAUCGUCCCCAGGUGAUGAGUAGAGUGUGAGUGUAUUAAGACCAUCUGAACUAACUUUAUUAACGGGCAUUUGGCUAUCGUCCCCUGGGUGAUGAGUAGAGUGUGAGUGUAUUAAGACCUUCUGAACUAACUUUAUUAACGGGCAUUUGGCUAUCGUCCCCAGGUGAUGAGUAGAGUGUGAGUGUAUUAAGACCAUCUGAACUAACUUUAUUAACGGGCAUUUGGCUAUCGUCCCCAGGUGAUGAGUAGAGUGUGGGUGUAUUAAGACCUUCUGAACUAACUUUAUUAACGGGCAUUUAGCUGUCGUCCCCAGGUGAUGAGUAG